UAACCAUAAUGGCACACUAUUCUAGUCAAUACCUUUAUUACGAGGACGGGAUUAAACAACCGUUAUAGAGCAUAUCUGUGAAACCUUUGGUGUUUGCUUCUUACGCCCAGUUUGGGGUGGAUGCUGAGGGGAUAGAUACUUGGGCGCUCGUAAUGGCAUACGACAAACGACCCAACUAUCAUGGAGACCCAUUUGCGUGGUAAGCCUAUACGUUUAUACUGACGGACUUAUUACGGGAUGGAUUUGAACCCACUUGUGGCGAAAGUUAUGAAUGGCGUAGCUUGUCUUGAGUGAAAAUGUCGGGAUAAGUGAUCUUGCUAAAUAAGUAGGCCAACUUGUUUUAGUACUGCACUUUGAAAUCAUUUUUGCAAAAGAGAACUAGUAGUAAGAGGAUUGGUGAGGAAAUCUCCUAGAGUGCUUUUAUAGGAUUGCAGUGGGCACUAAGUGGUAGUCAAGUCAUAUGAUUGGUAACAACAUAUUAAUUUCUUUAAAGGGGAACCACAUAUCUGGUAACGGAUCUGUAGAAGUUAGGGAAAUCCUACUUGACCUAAGGCUCAAAGUUUACUAUAAAAAAGCCAUUAUUA
rnacentral:sRNA from 1 species